rnacentral:lncRNA from 1 species
AACUCUAACAACAACUCAAUGACUCGAAAGGUUACUAGCUACCAUGGGACUUCUUCAGGAUGACACACUCAUACUUGACCUGGAACCACUUCAUGGCAUCUUUUUUUCAUGGCAUCUUCCUUGGUCACCCAUCUUCCUUGAUCCCAACACGCUCCAGAACGACAAAGAGGUCCAUCUUAGUUGAGCAAUUGUUCAGGAAGUCAUACCUGAGAGAAUUAAUCCAGUAAGUUUGAAGUAUGUAAGCAAUAGCAUAUCAAUUGGCCAUAGAACUUUCUGCACUAGAACCGAACAAGGCAAGGCAAGGCAUUAAGACAGAUGUGAACACAUGAGAUAAAAUCUAGAGAGAAGUGAAUACAGAAGAUAAAUUCACAGACCUGGAACUACUCGUCAUCAUCACCAAUAUUGUGCCCAGUGUGAUCUUCAUCAUCACUACGAUAUUGCAUCAUAGUUUCAUCGUGGUCGUCCUCCUCCUUGCUUUCAUCCAAUAAUUCAAUAUGUUGUUUGACAAGUUUUGCCGCUACAACAGGAUCAAUCACAGAGUGUUCUUGGUCUUUGCGCAGCAGAUUCGACAAAGUGGAUUCAUUAGCUCUCACCGGAACUUCCUCCGAAUGAUCAUCCUGGUAAUUUAGUCCACUACCAUUGGGACCUUGCUCCAUGGAAGUUUCAG